AAGGCAAAGUCUUUAGGGAUUAGUAAUCUUACAACAGAGUCUUUUGGUGGGCAAAGUCCAAAAAUCCCAAGAGAAAUAUCCAGAGGUGGGCGGUUCUAUCUGUCCAGCAGAAGAAUGAAGAUUGCCUUCUUCUCCACAGUCAAAGCAAAGGAGAAUGAUCACCUGUUCCUGAUAAACUACGUCCUUGGAUACUACAAAAACUUUCAGAUGUGACUGGUGGAUAAGCCACUGUAAGUGAUAUUUGAAAGUCUACAGAGAACAGGAAAGGUACCACAGUACUGGCAUAGACAAGGAAGA
rnacentral:lncRNA from 1 species